rnacentral:misc_RNA from 1 species
AACCUAGCACACCUGCGGUGUGUACCUGCGGAGGGAUCAUUACCGAGUUUACAAACUCCCAACCCUUUGUGAACCUUACCAUAUUGUUGCUUCGGCGGGACCGCCCCGGCGCCUUCGGGCCCGGAACCAGGCGCCCGCCGGAGGCCCCAAACUCUUAUGUCUUUAGUGGUUUUCCCCUCUGAGUGACACAUAAACAAAUAAAUAAAAACUUUCAACAACGGAUCUCAGAUCGGAAGAGCA